UUGAAUAUGUUGGGAAUAGGUGCCCAGCCCCUCGGGGGAACUGGAGCUUAAAAGGGAAGUCCGGUGAAAAACCGGCGCGGUCCCGCCACUGUAACAGAGGAGUCAAGGCGAUUAUGCCACUGGUCUUAGACCGGGAAGGCAGCCGAAGAUGAUGAUUCUGGAGCCAGGAGACCUGCCUGUUCUGACAGCACUGC
rnacentral:ncRNA from 2 species